rnacentral:rRNA from 1 species
AGACAGCAGCCGCCGCGGUAAUACGAAGGGGGCUAGCGUUGUUCGGAAUUACUGGGCGUAAAGCGCACGUAGGCGGACAUUUAAGUCAGGGGUGAAAUCCCGGGGCUCAACCUCGGAACUGCCUUUGAUACUGGGUGUCUUGAGUGUGGAAGAGGUAAGUGGAAUUGCGAGUGUAGAGGUGAAAUUCGUAGAUAUUCGCAGGAACACCAGUGGCGAAGGCGGCUUACUGGUCCACAACUGACGCUGAGGUGCGAAAGCGUGGGGAGCAAACAGGAUUAGAUACCCCAGUAGUCCCUGUCUCUUAUAC